UGGUGGAGUGAUUUGUCUGGUUAAUUCCGAUAACGAACGAGACUCUAGCCUACUAAAUAGACCGGCGCGUCCUUCGGGCCGCGUCGGUGCUUCUUAGAGGGACGGGCGGCGUCGCAGCCGCAUGAGAAAGAGCAAUAACA
rnacentral:rRNA from 1 species